CACGUAGGGCGCAAGCGUUGUCCGGAAUUAUUGGGCGUAAAGAGCUCGUAGGCGGUCUGUUGCGUCCGCUGUGAAAACUCGGGGCUUAACCCCGAGCCUGCAGUGGAUACGGGCAGACUAGAGGUAGGUAGGGGAGAAUGGAAUUCCCGGUGUAGCGGUGAAAUGCGCAGAUAUCGGGAGGAACACCGGUGGCGAAGGCAGCACUCUGGGACGGUACUGACGCUGAGACGCGAAAGCGUGGGGAGCAAACAGG
rnacentral:rRNA from 1 species